rnacentral:rRNA from 1 species
AUACGGAGGGUGCAAGCGUUACUCGGAAUCACUGGGCGUAAAGCGCGCGCAGGCGGCUAUUUAAGUUGGAUGUGAAAGCCUACGGCUCAACCGUAGAACUGCAUCCAAAACUAUUUAGCUAGAGUGUGGGAGAGGAAGAUGGAAUUAGUUGUGUAGGGGUAAAAUCCGUAGAGAUAACUAGGAAUACCAAAAGCGAAGGCAAUCUUCUGGAACACUACUGACGCUGAGGCGCGAAAGCGUGGGGAGCAACCGGGAUUAGAAACCCUAGUAGUCC